AGGUUAUUGACAAAGUGCUAGUAGCGGAGAGAACAGGCAGAUCGUAAAGACGCCGUAAAUCCCUCCCUGGAGGCUCGAGCCGCGCCAUCCCUGGCGCGGA
rnacentral:ncRNA from 1 species